UACGUAGGGGGCAAGCGUUGUCCGGAUUUAUUGGGCGUAAAGAGCGUGUAGGCGGCCAGACAGGUCUGCUGUGAAAACUCGAGGCUCAACCUCGAGACGCCGGUGGAAACCGUUUGGCUAGAGUCCGGAAGAGGAGAGUGGAAUUCCUGGUGUAGCGGUGGAAUGCGCAGAUAUCAGGAAGAACACCAACGGCGAAGGCAGCUCGCUGGGACGGUACUGACGCUGAGACGCGAAAGCGUGGGGAGCGAACAGG
rnacentral:rRNA from 1 species